rnacentral:rRNA from 1 species
UACGGGGGGGGCAAGCGUUGUUCGGAAUUACUGGGCGUAAAGGGCUCGUAGGCGGCCAACUAAGUCAGACGUGAAAUCCCUCGGCUUAACCGGGGAACUGCGUCUGAUACUGGAUGGCUUGAAUCCGGGAGAGGGAUGCGGAAUUCCAGGUGUAGCGGUGAAAUGCGUAGAUAUCGGGAGGAACACCGGUGGCGAAGGCGGCGACCUGGGUAGAUACUGACGCUGAGGUGCGAAAGCGUGGGGAGCAAACAGG